rnacentral:rRNA from 1 species
AUUGAACGCUGGCGGCAGGCCUAACACAUGCAAGUCGAACGAGUGGCGGACGGGUGAGUAAUGUCUGGGACACGGCCUGUUGGGGGGGGAUAACUACUGGAAACGGUAGCUAAUACCGCAUACCAUCAGAUGGACACAGAUGGGAUUAGCUGGUUGGGGGGGUAAAGGCUCACCAAGGCGACGAUCCCUAGCUGGUCUGAGAGGUGGACCGCCCACAUUGGAACGGAGCCCCGGGCCAGACCCCUACGGUAGGCAGCAGUGGGGAACAUUGCACAAUGGGGGCAAGCCUAAUGCAGCCAGGCCGCUGGUUGGAGGAGGGCUUUGGGUUUGUAAAGUACGUUGAGCGGGGAGGCGGUACCCGAAGAAGAAGCACCGGCUAACUCCGUGCCAGCCGCCGCGGUAAUAC